rnacentral:rRNA from 1 species
CACGUAGUUAGCCGGGGCUUCUUAUUCAGGUACUGUCAUGAUCUUCCCUGCUGAUAGAGCUUUACAUACCGAAAUACUUCUUCACUCACGCGGCGUCGCUGCAUCAGGGUUCCCCCCAUUGUGCAAUAUCCCCCACUGCUGCCUCCCGUAGGAGUUUGGGCCGUGUCUCAGUCCCAAUGUGGCCGUUCGUCCUCUCAGAUCGGCUACUGAUCGUCGCUUUGGUAGGCUCUUACCCUGCCAACUGGCUAAUCAGACGCGGGUCCAUCUCAUAGCGAUUCUCUUUUCACCCUCUGCCAUGCGGCAGUGUGUGCUUAUGCGGUAUUAGCAGAAAUUUCUCUCUGUUAUCCCCCUCUAUGAGCCAGGUUCGCCCACGUGUUACUCCACCCGUCCGCCACUCAGUUCCUUCCCCUCUUUCGACCCGAAGUCUUAAAGGCUGGACUCCGUUCGACUUGCAUGUGUUAGGCACGCCGCCAGCGUUCAU